GUGGGGAAUAUUGCACAAUGGGCGAAAGCCUGAUGCAGCAACGCCGCGUGAGUGAUGAAGGCCUUCGGGUUGUAAAGCUCUGUCUUUUGGGACGAUAAUGACGGUACCAAAGGAGGAAGCCACGGCUAACUACGUGCCAGCAGCCGCGGUAAUACGUAGGUGGCAAGCGUUGUCCGGAUUUACUGGGCGUAAAGGAUGCGUAGGUGGAUAUUUAAGUGGGAUGUGAAAUACCCGAGCUUAACCUGGGUGCUGUAUUUCAAACUGGAAGUCUAGAGUGCAGGAGAGGAGAAUGGAAUUCCUAGUGUAGCGGUGAAAUGCGUAGAGAUUAGGAAGAACACCAGUGGCGAAGGCGACUCUCUGGACUGUAACUGACACUGAGGCUCGAAAGCGUGGGGAGCAAACAGGAUUAGAUACCCCUGUAGUCC
rnacentral:rRNA from 1 species